UAACACGAUAUUUUGUAUACAGGGUUUGAUUGUUGACUCUCGUAAAGGCUCCCUUCAGCCAUUCAAGAAACCUUGGGCGCAUGAGCACGAGCCCUUGAAAACCUUGUAUGAUGCUGUUCAGGUAGUCACGCUCAUGUGCAUUUAAGAUCGUAUUUCAGUUCAUUAGCAGCUGCUGCCUUCACUUAGAGAUGUCCUGUUUGUGCUGUUUUCACCAAAAAAAAAGGAAUUUGCUAACCUUUCGUCAUAUCCUCCAGUCCAUCAAACCUACAGUUCUGAUCGGGACAUCUGGAGUUGGAAGAACAUUCACAAAAGAAAUCAUUGAGGCCAUGUCUUCCUUCAACGAGGUAACUUUUUUUUUUCUGUU
rnacentral:lncRNA from 1 species